rnacentral:tRNA from 1 species
AGAAAAGUAAGCUAAAUCAAGCUAAUGGGUUCAUACCCCAUUUAUAGAGGGUAGACCUCUCUUCUCUA